GACGAACUGUCCUAACGUUGUUCGGAAUCACUGGGCUUAAAGGGCGCGUAGGCGGUCCGACAAGUCAGGGGUGAAAUCCUGCAGCUUAACUGCAGAAGUGCCUUUGAUACUGUCGGUCUUGAGGGAGAUAGGGGUGUGCGGAACUCACAGUGGAGCGGUGAAAUGCGUUGAUAUUGUGAGGAACGCCGGAGGCGAAAGCGGCGCACUGGAUCUCUUCUGACGCUGAGGCGCGAAAAGCAUAGGGGAGCAAGCGGG
rnacentral:rRNA from 1 species